GGAAGGCAGUGAAAUGAUCUGCCUGGAUUGUUUCCACGUGGGCCUCUUCAGGAUCCGGUCUGCCUUCUUUUUCUGAGACAGGGUGACCUAGGAACAAUAGACUCUGCUUUACGUACAUAGUGUUUCUGCAAAAUGCCUGGAUUCAUUUUGCUUGGGGUAAAAGAGAUGUCAGAUGCUUGAUAGAUCCUGUAGUUCAACUUGAUUCCUAGAGAGAAGCUGUUCAUAUGAUAUCAGAAAAAUGAAAUUUCAGGAAACUAGACUGGAGUCUCACUUCUUUCCCAGACCGGAACUCUUGGGAGCUGUAAUCCUGGAUAUACAGUAAAUAAUAAUAGCGUUUUUGUUUUAUGUAUGAAGGUGGAUGAUUCUUCAAAUUAAAGGUGGACACUGACUUUUCUCACCAGAAAUGGUUUAUAAGAAAUCAACUUGCAAAAAUUUAGAGGCAAUAAAAGAAAGAGUAAAAUAUUUUCUUCUAUCAUUGUUUGAUUCUUUGCUAGAUUGUAAGCUCCAUGAAAGCAGGAUAACUUGCUUAUCUGCAAUGCCUGACCCAGAAUAGAUACUCAAGAAAUACUUGAAGUUAAUUAAAAUUUCCAUAGAAUUUUUUUUUUAAUCUCUGGAAAUGAUAACCAUUUUAAUGGCAUUUCAACAAGAUUACAUGGAAUACUUGGGACUUAAAUUUUGACUUGAUAAACUAUGUGGAUAGCAAUGAGUCUUAAUAAUAACUUCUGUUAUAAUAUGAAACCUAUUCUUUAGAAACCUAUAAUAUGAAACCUAUUCUUCUGUUAAAGCAAAUAUAAAUAUCAAAUUAGAUUUAGAGUAGAUGAUGCUGACUACCUGAGAUUCAAACAUAAUAGGAAGAUUAUUAUUUCUGAAGCUCUUAGAGAAAUGUGGUACAUAAUAUAGCCAGUAAGUACUUAUAAUAUCUAAACAAGAUCAAUAUCAAACUUCAUGGUAAAAUACCAGUUAAAUGGUAUAUGAUAAUGAAUGCACAAAUUGUGCUGUCAGAGUUUAUCCAGACUUUUUAUGUUAGGAAGAAUGGAUUGCUACUGCUACUGCUAAGUCACUUCAGUCGUGUCCGACUCUGUGCAACCCCAUAGACGGCAGCCCACCAGGCUGCCCCGUCCCUGGGAUUCUCCAGGCAAGAACACUGGAGUGGGUUGCCAUUUCCUUCUCUAAUGCAUGAAAGUGAAAGGUGAAAGAGAAGUCGCUCAGUCGUGUCCGACUCAGCGAUCCCAUGGACUGCAGCCCACCUGGCUCCUCCAUCCAUGGGAUUUUCCAGGCAAGAGUACUGGAGUGGGGUGCCAUUGCCUUCUCCAAAGAAUGGAUUAAAGAUCUGUAAAUUGAAAGCAAAACUUCAAGCCUAUAUAAAAGCAAAGAAUAUGGCACUGUGACAUUGGAUUAGCCAUAAGACAAAAGAAAAGACUGAUAAAUUUGUAUACACUAAAAUUCAAACUUAAGUUUGCAUGCCAUGUAACUGACAAAGGCUCCAUUUAAAUCAAGAAAAUGAUCAAAGGAUAUGAAUGAACAAUUCAUAGAUGAGGAUCCCUGAGUAGUCACAUGAAAAGAUGCUUAAUCUAACUACUAAUAAAAUAACUUUAC
ensembl:lncRNA